rnacentral:rRNA from 1 species
AGCUUGCUCUCUGGGUGGCGAGUGGCGGACGGGUGAGGAAUACAUCGGAAUCUACUUUUUCGUGGGGGAUAACGUAGGGAAACUUACGCUAAUACCGCAUACGACCUACGGGUGAAAGCAGGGGAUCUUCGGACCUUGCGCGAUUGAAUGAGCCGAUGUCGGAUUAGCUAGUUGGCGGGGUAAAGGCCCACCAAGGCGACGAUCCGUAGCUGGUCUGAGAGGAUGAUCAGCCACACUGGAACUGAGACACGGUCCAGACUCCUACGGGAGGCAGCAGUGGGGAAUAUUGGACAAUGGGCGCAAGCCUGAUCCAGCCAUACCGCGUGGGUGAAGAAGGCCUUCGGGUUGUAAAGCCCUUUUGUUGGGAAAGAAAUCCAGCUGGUUAAUACCCGGUUGGGAUGACGGUACCCAAAGAAUAAGCACCGGCUAACUUCGUGCCAGCAGCCGCGGUAAUACGAAGGGUGCAAGCGUUACUCGGAAUUACUGGGCGUAAAGCGUGCGUAGGUGGUCGUUUAAGUCCGUUGUGAAAGCCCUGGGCUCAACCUGGGAACUGCAGUGGAUACUGGGCGACUAGAAUGUGGUAGAGGGUAGCGGA